AGAUUGGAGAGAAGAUCCAAAAUUAUAAUUUGUGAUUGGAACUCCAUUAAUAUCUAUUUACUAUUCUAAUGAAGUUUUCUAACCUAAUUGAUGUUAUGAAUUGCUUAGCCUUGUCUGAGUAGUUCCAUUGUUAGAUUUAGGGUUUAUAUAGGUUAGGAGGGAUUAGCCCCAACUAUAGAUUGCUGAGUUGUGGUAAUUGUCAUUAGGGUUGUUCAUUAAUGCCUGUUUCUAUAUUAGCUACAUAGAACUUGCCCUAGGAUUGAUUGAUAAAAGCGAGAGUUUCAUUCUCAUUCUGAAAACAUUCUAACUGAGCUAAGUUUCUUAAAAUGAGUAAGGCGAGAGCUGAUAUAGUGAGUUUUGUAAGCUGUCAUUCAACCCGCGCAUAAAGCUUAACUAGAAGCGCGUUGAUCGAUAUCAUUAUUAAAUAAUCGAUUGACGGAGUGAAAGGUGAAUCGAUCGAUAUCCCUAUAGGAUCAUCGAUUGACACUUUCUAAUUGAUCGACAAACGAUAGUUGAGAUCAUUAGAUCUAGUUAAUAGACAAGUCCAAACAUGCGAAAGCUGAUAGACUUGUUGACUAAGUAGUUGAGCUUUACAUUUUCAUGCAUGAAACUCAUUAGGCAUAUGUAGGAUUAUAAUCCCAAGUUUUCUGAAUAAAAACCCUAAGUCUAGCUAUUUCCUUUUAAGCACCAAAACCUCAACCAAUCAAUUGAGCAAACACUUGCUUCAUAAAAACUGCAAUUUACAUUUAAAUCAUUAAAACAUCCUACUUAACAAAUCAUAUUAGAUUUCUUAGGUUCCCUAGCUCCCUGUGAAUUCGAUCCCUAAGUACUACAACUUGACCUCUUAUUUGAGAGAGUAUAAAUCACUCCUUAGGGUAAUUUGAGUGGUAUCAGGGAGACGAGAAUGGAAGUUCCGUGUGAAGAAAUUGUGGAGUUGAUCGUAUGACAAGCUGCAGUUGUGAUGUGAGUAGAAGGUGGUAGAAGAGUUUAGUAUCAAAUGGUGGUAUCAGUAGUAAAAAAAAAAAGAAGAAGCGGAUGGUAGAAGCAGAUAGUUACAUCGACAACAGAGAACCAAAGAACAGAUCGAGGAAGCCGAAGCAAAAUUCAGAAGGUGCUACCAGAAGAUGGAAGUACCUUGUGAAUUCGGGGACGAAUUCAUUUAAGGAGGGGAGAAUGUAAUACCCCUGGUCAAGGGCAUCAAUCAAGUCAACGACUUAGGAUCGACCAAAAUUUGAAGUAUUAUGCUAUAUAGAGUUAUGACUAGAGGUUCGGUCAAGGAAUUUUGAAGAACGGUCGAGCAAAAAUCAGAUUUGAUCGCAGAGAUAGGAUCUGAGCUACGAAAGGGUCAUGGUCGAGCAUGGAGAAUUUCCAAAGUCGACGAUUCAAGUAAGAGUUAAUCUCAAUCAUCAUGAUGGGUUAGUAGAAGACAUUUGGUCGAAUCAGAAACAUGUUUGUACGGGCCCAUAAGGAGAUGGUGCAUAGAGCUUCCAGAGAUGGUCUAUGCAGAGGUUUGGUAACGGUCAAAAGACGAAGGUGGCUACUAUGAAUCCAGGAGUUAGGGAGUCAAUCUAGAACCUUAUUUAAGGUAUUUGAAGACAUAUUUGAGAGUUUGGUCAAGACAAAACCAAGAUGGUCCGUAGGAAGACCAAGAUAGGCCCGAGGAGAACGGGUUUGGCCGACAUGGUCGAAACGAGCUAGUUAUAGGCAAAGGAAGCCAAAUAGAGUUGUGCAAACUUGGGAAAAAAGUUCAAAGGGAUGUUUCACACAUUUCCUCAACUUUUGGAAAUGGUCAUCUCAGAUGUCAAAAGUCAACUAAAGUCAAAGGAGAGAGAAUGAACCCCAUUUGUCAAUAUAACCCAUCCGAUCAACCGAUAGCAGCAUGCCACGUGGAAGCGACCAAAUUCUUUCAAUCCUGGACAUGGUGUGAUAUAAAGCAAGGGAUUUUAUGGUGAAGAAAUCAGGGGCAAAAGACAUCUUGAGAGCAAGAAGACAUGGAGAUACCAUUUGUUCCCGAAAUAGACUAUAAUUGGUAAUGGGAGCUAUGGGCUGAAGAAAGGCUUUUCUACAUGAAAACCACGACAUCUAAGUUGUAUUUUGGACCCAGGAGAAGUAUUGGAUUGGGCUGGAGCACAAAAAAAAACAGAUUAGAAGAUUGAAGACCCAAAGGUGCCAAAAUGGGUCAUUUUUGCUGUUUGGUUAAGGGAGGAGAAGGCUAAUGGAAACUUGUCAGGCACGAAAACGUCCAUACAGUGGUUCUUCCUCUACACACUGGGGUCUACAGGAGCAAGGGAGAGAAGCCUAAGGAGUAGGUUUCACAUGUGUUAGCCUUAAAGGCCAUUUUGGAGCUAAAAAGUGUUGAGGUGGAAACCAAACUUGGGAAUCAAGUUUCGUUCUGAUUUUUGGUACAGAGAACCUACUUUGGAAGGUGGUUUAACUUCUAGAAUAUGGUACAUAAAUGGUUUGAUUCAGAGAUUUGCAUGCAUGAGUGCUUUUGGAGUGUAUUUUGGUGACAAGUGGAACUACACAUGUCAAGUGUUUCCACCCCACUCUUUGGCUAUAAAAAGGAUCCUUAGGAUGUGUUUUAGAAGUUUAGAAACCAGCUGUGCCUUCUCUCUCAGUCGGUCUUAUGGUUUGUUCUUGAGAGAGAAAAUUUCUAAAACAGAUAAAAUUUUAUGAGCGUGUGAGAAGAGUAUAGGAGGCCUUUCCGUGUGUUGAUCCUUGUCCUAGGGUAUGUUGUGCUGUGCUUGGAAGGGUGGUAAGACCUUAGAUUUUGAGUUUGUUGGAGGGCUUCAAACGUGAGGGUUCUUGAGCUUGAAUCGCCUUUGCGGUUUAUGUGUGUGUGUAUGGGAGUUGGUAACCGUAGAGGGUCGGGCGUUUGCGGGGUGUGGAGGAUGACAAGGAGAAAGAUGUUUAUGUUUUCACUCGUUUUUAUUUUCAUGGGUACCCGUUUGACUCGUUAUUUUCUCUUUGUUGUUGUAUUUGAGGACCUUAGUCGAGUUUCUGACUUUGCAAAAUAAAUAAAAGUAUGUUUCUUUAAUAAAAUCACUGUAGAACGCUGAUAUAUAGUUUUGUCUGAACUUAACACAACUCUCAACCGAGGUACGGGUUUGCAAGCCUUAGGCUGAGGUCGAGAGGGACGGUAUCAUGGACGGACUUGUCGAGACUUUUAAAUUGUGUAGAGUUUUGGCCUGACUGACUGCAGUACUCGUCAAAAUUGUGGCGCUUCCGGGACGUUCCGGGUUAGUCUGGCCUAGGACGGUUUGGGGGUGCUACAGGCGGUCCCUGGGACCGAACCCAGAGUGCCUCCUAGCGGGGAGCCAGAGGCCGGUGUCCUGCCUGGGGUCUGGAGAAAUUCAAUACCUGAGUAUUUUUCCCAACAACAGUGCGGAUCAGAAAUCGAUUGACACUCAAAAGGUGGAAUCGAUCGACAAUAGUCCAGGAGAUUGGGAACAUGACAACUACAAUCCCACCAUGGCGGUACACACUGCGAUACCCACCGGAGAUACACUGCAUACAGAGGAGUAUGAUGAGGAUUACAAGGAGGAACAAGCUACAAAGUACAUAUAUAUUCGUACUGAGGAAGAUAUACUUCUCUACCAUUCCUUUUGGCAAAGGAAUGUGACAUCGAUCGACGGAAACAUUCCACCAUCGAUUGACACUCAUCAUCAUCAAACAAACCGCAAACGAGCAUCGACUGACAUUCUACUACCGAUCGAUCGAAACUAGAGUCGACCAUGCAUGAGAAGGAGAUUUGUCAAUUGGCAGUUGGGCAGAUGAUCGCUAUCAUGAGAACUAUGCAGCAGAGACAACAGUACAUGAGCCAGGAGCAGAUGAACCCCAUGAAGGUUUCACAACUGAGGAGCUACUUAACCACCAGGAACACUCAUAUACGGAUUCAGUUCCUGCAGAAGCUUGUGGAAGAGGGAUCUGUUUCUAUCAUCCUUACUCUUGAGCUAACCACCCAUCGAUUG